GUGAGGAAUUUUCCGCAAUGGGCGAAAGCCUGACGGAGCAAUGCCGCGUGAAGGAUGAAGGCCUAUGGGUUGUAAACUUCUUUUCUCAGAAAAGAAUUAUGACGGUAUCUGAGGAAUAAGCAUCGGCUAACUCUGUGCCAGCAGCCGCGGUAAGACAGAGGAUGCAAGCGUUAUCCGGAAUGAUUGGGCGUAAAGCGUCUGUAGGUUGUUUAAAAAGUAUUCUGUCAAAGAUUAGGGCUUAACCCUAGAUAGGCAGAAUAAACUUUUAAGCUAGAGUUUGGUAGAGGCAGAGGGAAUUCCCGGUGGAGCGGUGAAAUGCGUAGAUAUCGGGAGGAACACCAAAGGCGAAGGCACUCUGCUGGGCCAAUACUAACACUGAGAGACGAAGGCGAGGGGAGCAAAUGGGAUUAGAAACCCGAGUAGUCC
rnacentral:rRNA from 1 species